GCGCCGGUAGAAUAUUUUUUUAGUUCAUAGCCUUUAUUUGGCUGGGGAGGCAUAGGGCUUUGGUGUA
rnacentral:tRNA from 2 species